UUUACCUUUCUGGCUAUUGCGGUGCAAAUCUUUGGAAGUUUCCCCAAAUUAUCACAUUUUGGAGCUGUUGUUCUAUUGAAAUUGAACAAACGAAAUCGUAGAUGGUUAGCAGGGCUUUGGUCCUUAUUUUCUUAUUUUCUUACAUACCAUUUGUCUAGGCCAAAGGUGUGAUUCUUCAGGGUUAAUACUUCUAUAUAUUGUUAGCUCUUGAUUAUGUUUUUCUGGGACAUUUAUAACAAUUUAGCUUCAAAUUUACUUGUAUUUUUUCUGGGGCAUUUUUAAGUGCGUGCGCAAGCUUCAAGUAUGUACAGUGCACACACUUUUGUUUGACAAAUUAUAACCCCAAUCAAGGUCCAAAUCGAAGCAUAUAUGACAUCACAAAUGGAUCUAAACAAAUGACGUCACAAAUGUCCUCCAAGGAAUGGUCAUAUAGAAAAGAAACUUGAAACAGAAUUCGUUGGAAGUAUGUUGUUUUCCUUUCUUGAACUUGUAUUCCGUCAUUUAUUAAUAUUUAUUUACCAUGUCCAUUAACGUACUAUGAGCUAAUUUUACAUAACAUUACAGGGGCCUAAAUGAUUGAGGAGUGAAAUUAGAUCAUGGCCUUUCAUGUUUGAAGGGAUAUAGUAUUACGAUAACUCUCAAAAAUCAAUAUUGUAUAAUGACAGAAGUUAAUAAUCUAAAUCAGCAGGAGCAAGCUUUGGAUGAGUGUAUAUACUAGCGAGAUGUGCGGAAAGCUAAGCGGGUUAAUGGAAGAUGAGAAUGGUUGAAG